CCUACAUAAGAUUAAAUGCAUGGGUUCCCUCACUCGAUCAAGCGCUUCGGCUCUCAUCCCAGUACAUUUUCGAAAACCCUAGCAGAGUAAAAACCAGUCUCGGAUUGCUGGAUUCUCCUUUCAUUUAUGCAAAUCUUCAAAUGGAAAAUGCUCAACGCCUCUCCAUCCAUCGUGCUUCUAUAGUAACUGUCUUCGAAUGCAAGCCUCGGAUCUCCUUCUUUCAUCUUCUCUUAGGGUUUCUCAAACCGCAGCUCGAUCUAUCUUGAUUGAUUCUUUGUUCUCGCCUGAGGAUGUCGAGAUCGGGUCCCGGCCGUCGGAUUUCUUCCAGUUCAUUACUUCGGAGCAGGUGAAGGUCAUCUCGAUACUUGGGCUGGCACUGGCGCUCUAUAACACGGAUUGGGUGGUGAUGUUGAUGGCGAUCGUUCCUCUGUUGCCUGUGUCGUUCAGAGGAAUUCAGGUCAACAGAGCACUCUGACAUUCGGGCAUUCAACUAUGUAUUGGAAGAAUGCCUAAGGCCAUUUGGGACGACCUGAUAGAAAGAUUCAAGGCAAAGCUAGCCAUGUGGAACAACAGAACACCAUGAAUGGGGUGAGUUGGUGAAGGCAAUCCUUGCAAAUGUACUUGUGUACAUGAGGUCAUUUUUUUUUUUUUGGAAACGUACCUAAUGCAUCAUUUAAACACCGAUAUUUGAUUGUGGCCAAGUUGGGUUAAUUUCAAAAGGAAUUUUUUUGAAAUGAUAAGUUAGUCUGUCAUAAAUAACAUUCACUUUGUUAGAAAGAGGGUGUAAAUCCAAGAAGAAUGGUGGUCCUCAGAAUAGGUCAAUUAAACAGGUCAAUCGGGCUCUUUUAAGUGGUAGUGGAGGAUUGGGGGACAAAUAAAGUGCAUUAUGGUAGAUUAUUCUCAUAGAGAAAUAUGGGCGACAGAGAAUGGCUUGUCAGUUUAAUUUAGUAACUAUAGAAUGGGAUCUGCCAUCUGGAGGGCUAUAUGGCCAGUUGAGGGGCAGGUAUAUCAGGUAUAGAAUUGGAAUAUGCAAUUUAAUGUAGUAACUGCUUCACGGGUGCUUGAUGUGCCUAGCACAAGAAGAGAACGAAUUUCACCGAUUACUGCCCUGCGGAUUUGCAGGGGACAUUUGAGUGGCAGUUUUGUAACGUUUUGGCCUUGCAUGGAUUAUUCCAGGAUCAAUGCAGGUGUUUUUCUCCAGUUGGUGGAAUAUCAAUUUCUCCUAUUGACCUCCCCUUCAGAAAAUCACAAUUCAAACAACUUUAUGGAGUUUAUGGUUGGAAAGAAGUAGGAUAAUUUUUCAUGGGAAAGCUAUAAAUGUAGAAGAGGUAUCUGACAGAAUGUUUACUUGUACAAUGGAUCGGAAUAAAGCCAACAGGAAGCUGCAUGGGAUAUCGAAGCACAUGCUCAAAAUUGGAGUGAAGCCAACAAGAAGAAGAAAAGAAAAUGAAAAGGAGAAAAAAAGAAAGAAAGAAAGA